GUGCGCGGCGGGCCAGAGAUUCCUAGUCGAGGGUCCUGGGAGGUAGACGCGUGUUCCAAGACCCCACCCUUCCAAGAGCUCCUUAAUGGAUUCAGUGGGCACUAGGGCCCCGGGAGAAAAGGGGCGGAGAUUCCCGUUCCCAUUUCUCAGGUGAGGAAACUGAUCCGAGAAAGGAUAUUUUAUCUCUCAGGCAGGCAUCAGCCUCAACUCUUGAGUCCCGGGGCUAAAACGACUACGUACAUUUGGUGCCCUGAGACCAUGGCCUACGCACUCAAAACCCGAAACAAUGCUUGGAACAGCAGCGCUCAAUAGACUUAUGCCUCCACCCCCACCCCCAACUCAGGCGGGAGGCCAGGGAUCCACAGGCUGCAAUGGAGGAAGGCCAGGUGGUCCCAGUGGUGAUGGCUUCCUCAGGGAAGGGGUGUUGACUUGUCUGGCCCAGUUUAGGGGGUGGAUCUUGGAGUUUUCCCUUGCUGGAAAUUAACACCUUGGGAGGGAGACCUAGACUGUCACCUAUCCAACCCAUAUGGGAGCCACAGAGGAAAAGGACAGAAUUGUCCACACAGAAAGUGUUACAGAAACAGAAAAUGUCAUGUGCAAGCCAUCCACAAAGAACUCUCCACCACAGAUGCCAAUGAGACAAGCGGGGGACAUCCAGGAAGGAUGGGGUGAGGAUCUCUGCCCUUGGGUGAGACUGUCCCCACCACAGCCCCCUUCCCCAAGAAGAAGGGAAGCUUGGUUCACUAUUCUCCCACCUCUGCCUACCUCAAAAAGGAGAAUUGAAGUCUCACCUUGCUAUUAAACUUUUUGCUGAGUUUUUUGAACCAAUCAGCCUUCAAGUCAGGAAGAAGCUCCUUCAGUCUCCAGCACCGCUGGGGGAGAUGGCCCCUGCAUCACCAGCCUUGUCUUCUAGGGAGGGGUGCGUCCACCCGGGACCCUGGAGUGUGCUCUCCUGGAUCCUGCUGAUAAUACCCAUGGCUGGUAUUUGUGCAGCCCUUACCCUGAGCAGGGCAUUGUGCUAAACAGUUAAGGCCCUGCUGACCAAUGCCAUCUAACACUGGCAGUUCCCUCUGACACCCCAAGACUCCUCUCCAGAUUUCCAGAGCUUUGCAUGUACCAUUCCCUCUGCCAAGAUAGGCCUCAUCAAGCUCACCUCAUGAACUCCUCAUGGAAGACCAGGAGCACAUAUCACCUGGGAACCAUCUCAGACUGCCACUUCCAGCCUGAGUUUGGGCCAUACCUACAGGGCCACCACUAGCCUUUGUGCAAAUCAGAAAAAGGUACCCACUUUUGGCAGAUACAGGAAACCAUGAAGGAGGUCACAGACUGCCUUUCAGCUUCCUAGCUCCCUUUGCUAGGUGCCUUUUUGCAGUGCAUGCACAGGACAGAUGUACUCUGUGGCCUGGCUUUGGGUCCUUCAUCUGGCUUUGGGACCCCUCCUAUGGCCACAGUGACCACAAUGCACAGAAAUAGCUUUUAUUUGCUCAUCUCACUACUUGUCCCCUCGCCACCACCUCCCGCCAUGAAAAUUCUUUGAAGGUAAGGAGGAGUCCCCUACCUGCCUUGGGCCCGAAGCUUGGCCUCCAAAGAGGUACCAGUAAUAACAAUUGUAGCCAGAAUCUUUCUGAGCUCUUGCUUGUCAGGGACCAUGCUAAUUGCUUUUUGAACAUAGGCUUAUUAAAUCCACAGGCUUGGACACCUGUGUGAGGUUACAAAGUAGCAAAACCAGGAUUUCAAUCCAUGCCUUGUCUGAGGCAUUUUCCAUGACUGCCAUUUAUCUGCUAAUAUCUGUCAUUGAUUAAACAUCCAGUGACUGGAAAUGGCCACAUGGAGAGGAGUGUGGGAGUUAGGAUCUCCAAUAAAGAUGGCCAAUUUGGAACUCAGUCUAAGGUUUACCCUUCUUUGGGCCCCAGUUCUGUCACCUGUAUCACAAAGGAUGGGAGCAAAGGCAUUUGAAACCCUGCCUGCUGGGGCAGGGCACAGGAUAGUGUUCAGUGGGGUCAUGCUGGACUGUGACCUCAGCCAAAAUCCCAGGGCAGGCCUGGGGGUGCAAACACGGGCAGAGGCAGGGAGGAGCCUAACCGCACCAGACUGUGGCCCCGGGCCUUUGGGUCUGGGCCCUCACGCACUGACCACUGGACUUUAGGUCCUCCCCACCCCACCCCCAUGACGUCUGAAGGAGCAGAGAGCUGUGAAAUGAAAAUUCAAAAAGCCAAGUCUCUCAAGUAACCCAGGCUUGCCCAUUCCUGAGAAGUCAGUUUGGUGGCCAAUGCCUGGCCUUGACCUGUGUAAACAGAGGGGAAGGGAUGAGGACAGAAGGAAGACUCCAGUCCCAGAACAAAAUGACUCUGGGGACAGAGGCUGAGAGAAAGCAGGAAGCAAGCUAUAUUUCCCAUUGCCCAGGCACAGCUACAUACACGCCAUAGACAACCAGAUACAGCCCUGUUCUCAGUGAGGCACAGGGAACUCAGCCUGUAUAUGGGAUAUUGAUGGGGAGAGGGACAGUUUGGGGGCUGUUGUGCCCCUGACAAUAACCCUUGGCUUCUCUAGACACAAUCAUGGUUCAACUCUGUCCUAUGGGAGUGGGACUGAGUGCUCCCAGAGGCCAAAGCUGUGGCUCCAGCCUCCCUGCCACACUUCAGGAAGAGGGAGGGAG
rnacentral:lncRNA from 1 species